rnacentral:rRNA from 1 species
AAUGAACGUUGGCGGCGUGGAUUAGGCAUGCAAGUCGCGCGCGAAACGUAGCAAUACGUGGAGAGCGGCGUAAGGGAGAGUAAUACAUAGUUAGCUACCCUCGGGACUGGGAUAGCGGCGGGAAACUGCCGGUAAUACCAGAUGACGUCUUCGGACCAAACGUGUAAACCGGCCCGAGGAGGUGACUAUGUCCUAUCAGCUAGUUGGCGGUGUAAUAGACCACCAAGGCUAAGACGGGUAUGGGGCGUGAGAGCGUGGCCCCACUCACUGGGACUGAGACACUGCCCAGACACCUACGGGUGGCUGCAGUCGAGAAUCUUCGGCAAUGGGCGCAAGCCUGACCGAGCGACGCCGCGUGCGGGAUGAAGGCCUUCGGGUUGUAAACCGCUGUCGUAGGGGAGGAAGGUUUGGUGUAUAGCCAAACUUGACCGAUCCUAGGAGGAAGGGCCGGCUAAUCUCGUGCCAGCCGCCGCAGUAAGAC